rnacentral:rRNA from 1 species
CCUACGGGAGGCAGCAGUGAGGAAUAUUGGUCAAUGGACGCAAGUCUGAACCAGCCAUGCCGCGUGCAGGAUGACGGCCCUAUGGGUUGUAAACUGCUUUUGUACGAGGGUAAAAGCCGAUACGUGUAACGGUCUGAAAGUAUCGUAUGAAUAAGGAUCGGCUAACUCCGUGCCCGCAGCCGCGGUAAUACGGAAGAUUCAGGCGUUAUCCGGAUUUAUUGGGUUUAAAGGGUGCGUAGGCGGUAGGAUAAGUUAGAGGUGAAAUCCCGAGGCUCAACUUCGGCAUUGCCGCGGAUACUGUCUGGCUAGAGGGUAGUUGCGGUAGGCGGAAUGUAUGGUGUAGCGGUGAAAUGCUUAGAGAUCAUACAGAACACCGAUUGCGAAGGCAGCUUACCAAGCUACUUCUGACGCUGAGGCACGAAAGCGUGGGUAGCAAACAGGAUUAGAUACCCGAGUAGUC